CCUACGGGUGGCAGCAGUGAGGAAUAUUGGUCAAUGGACGCAAGUCUGAACCAGCCAUGCCGCGUGCAGGAAGACGGCUCUAUGAGUUGUAAACUGCUUUUGUACGAGGGUAAACGCAGAUACGCGUACCUGUCUGAAAUUAUCGUACGAAUAAGGAUCGGCUAACUCCGUGCCAGCAGCCGCGGUAAUACGGAGGAUUCAAGCGUUAUCCGGCUUUAUUGGGUUUAAGGGGUGCGUAGGCGGUCGGUUAAGUCAGUGGUGAAAGCCCGAGGCUCAACUUCGGAAUUGCAUUUGAUACUGGUCGGCUAGAGUGUAGUUGCGGUAGGCGGAAUGUAUGGUGUAGCGGUGAAAUGCUUAGAGAUCAUACAGAACACCGAUUGCGAAGGCAGCUUACCAAGCUACUUCUGACAUUGAGGCACGAAAGCGUGGGGAGCAAACAGGAUUAGAUACCCUUGUAGUC
rnacentral:rRNA from 1 species